CUAUCACACAUAAAAUGACAUCAGUGAUGAACUUUCAUCUAUAUUCAAGAGUGUUUAUCUCUCAAAACAGUGUAUCAAAUAAAAACAUAGACCUACAAUGUAUUGUUUAAUUUUAGAAUUCCCGUCUCGAGGUCCACAAAUUGUGCCCUCCUUUGCUAGACAUUGCCAUUGGCGAAUGUGGCUCUGGAGAACAGACCCGAGAACACAUUGUGUCCUACAGCUAGCCAGAAAGCCCUUUGAUCUUGCCAAGAAACUCUUGAUAAAUAGAAAACUACGACUUCAUUGCAAUGACUGGCCUUGAGGUAUGAUGACCUCAACAGAGAGAAUGAGAUUCAAGAGUUCACUGAUAAUGUUACUACAUUAAACCCCAUUAGAAGAUUUAGGAAUUAAAGAAAUAAAAGAAAUAUUGGAAAUAAAAAAUUUGAAUGCA